CCUACGGGAGGCAGCAGUGAGGAAUAUUGGUCAAUGGGCGAGAGCCUGAACCAGCCAAGUCGCGUGAAGGAUGACUGCCCUACGGGUUGUAAACUUCUUUUGUCAGGGAGCAACGCGGGCCACGUGUGGCCUUACUGAGAGUACCUGAAGAAAAAGCAUCGGCUAACUCCGUGCCAGCAGCCGCGGUAAUACGGAGGAUGCGAGCUUUAUCCGGAUUUAUUGGGUUUAAGGGGUGCGUAGGCGGAAUUCCAAGUCAGCGGUAAAAACUGGGGGCUCAACCUCGCCGUGCCGUUGAAACUGGUGUUCUUGAGUGGGCUAGAAGUAGGCGGAAUGCGUGGUGUAGCGGUGAAAUGCAUAGAUAUCACGCAGAACUCCGAUUGCGAAGGCAGCAUACCGGCGCCCAACUGACGCUGAAGCACGAAAGCGUGGGUAUCGAACAGGAUUAGAUACCCUUGUAGUC
rnacentral:rRNA from 1 species